rnacentral:rRNA from 1 species
AUCUAAGGCCGUGCCACUCUGAACCCACCCAAUCUCGGAAGCUAAGUGGGGUAGAGCCUGGUUAGUACUUGGAUGGGAGAAGUAGUUUGCCUUUCCGUAAGAAUGCCUCAGUGUCUUUCUUG